GAGGAAGGUGGGGAUGACGUCAAAUCAUCAUGCCCCUUAUGCUUAGGGCUACACACGUGCUACAAUGGGUAGUACAGAGGGUUGCCAAGCCGUAAGGUGGAGCUAAUCCCUUAAAGCUACUCUCAGUGCGGAUUGUAGGCUGAAACUCGCCUACAUGAAGCUGGAGUUACUAGUAAUCGCAGAUCAGAAUGCUGCGGUGAAUGCGUUCCCGGGUCUUGUACACACCGCCCGUCACACCACGGGAGUUGGAGACGCCCGAAGCCGAUUAUCUAACCUUUUGGAAGAAGUCGUCGAAGGUGGAAUCAAUAACUGGGGUGAAGUCGUAACAAGGUAGCCGUAUCGGAAGGUGCGGCUGGAUCACCUCCUUUCUAAGGAGA
rnacentral:rRNA from 1 species